rnacentral:rRNA from 1 species
CCUACGGGAGGCAGCAGCCGCGGUAAUGUUGGACAAUGGGCGCAAGCCUGAUCCAGCCAUGCCGCGUGUGUGAAGAAGGCCUUAUGGUUGUAAAGCACUUUAAGCGAGGAGGAGGCUACUUUAGUUAAUACCUAGAGAUAGUGGACGUUACUCGCAGAAUAAGCUCCGGCUAACUCUGUGCCAGCAGCCGCGGUAAU